GAUGAACGCUGGCGGCGUGCCUAAUACAUGCAAGUCGAGCGAACAGACGAGGGUGUUGGCCCUUUCUGAUGUUAGCGGGGGAGGUGAGUAUAACACGUGUGAACCCUACCUAUAACUCGAGUAUAACCUCGGAACACCGGAUCUUGUAGCGUAUAAUAUUUAGCUUCGCAUGUCUCAAUAGAAAGAGAGUUUUGUUAUGUCUUUUAUAUAGAGACCCGCGGUGUAUUAUCUAGUUGGUGAGGUAACGGUUCACCAAGACAACGAUACAUAGCCGACCUGAGAGGGUGAUCGGCCACACUGGAACUGAGACACGGCCCAGACUCCUACGGGAGGCAGCAGUAGGGAAUCUUCCGCAAUGGGCGAAAGUCUGACGGAGCAACGCCGCGUGAGUGAUGAAGGUUUUCGGAUCGUAAAACUCUGUUAUAAGGGAAGAACAAAUAUGUUAGUAACUGUGCACACCUUGACGGUACCUUACCAGAAAGCCACGGCUAACUACGUG
rnacentral:rRNA from 1 species